GGCUCCGUCCUCCUGGACAUGCCGAAAGGCCAGUGCUGGGGACCUUCUCCCAAAGCCAGCCCCUUAGCCUGGUCCCCAGCAUC
ensembl:misc_RNA Gm27596 predicted gene, 27596